rfam:Oryza glaberrima chromosome 12 Oglab12_0073_2, whole genome shotgun sequence.
ACUACCUCGUCUCGUGGGUUUCUAUGUCCAAUAUUUGACCGUUCGUCUUGGUUGAUAAUAAAUUAUGGUUAGUACUUUUGUUGUUAUUAAAUGAUAAAACAUAAAUAGUACUUUAUGUGUGACUAAUUUUUUAAACUUUUUUCAUAAUUUUUUUAAAUAAGACAGACGGUCAAACGUUGGAUAAGAAAACCCAGAGCUGCAUUUAAA